rnacentral:rRNA from 1 species
UGAGGAACAUGACCUUCGGCGGGGGAGUAGCCGGCCCAACGGCCGGGUAAUACCGCGUACGACCACAUGGGGACAUCCCUGAGUGGUGAAAGCAGCAAUGCGCCGAUGGAGUGCCUCGCGGCCUAUCAGCUAGUUGGUGAGGUAACGGCUCACCAAGGCGACGACGGGUAGCUGGUCUGAGAGGAUGGCCAGCCACAUUGGGACUGAGACACCGGCCCAGACCUNUACCGGGGAG